rnacentral:rRNA from 1 species
UGGUCCUACGGGGGGCAGCAGUGAGGAAUAUUGGUCAAUGGACGAGAGUCUGAACCAGCCAAGUAGCGUGAAGGAUGACUGCCCUAUGGGUUGUAAACUUCUUUUAUAUGGGAAUAACGUUUUCCACGUGUGGAAUUUUGUAUGUACCAUAUGAAUAAGGAUCGGCUAACUCCGUGCCAGCAGCCGCGGUAAUACGGAGGAUCCGAGCGUUAUCCGUAUUUAUUGGUGUUAAAGGGAGCGUAGGUGGAUUGUUAAGUCAGUUGUGAAUGUUUGCGGCUCAACCGUACAAUUGCAGUU